CCACGGACCCCCGGCCCCGUAAACGCAACUCGAAGGCCCUCGGUGCGGCUCCCUGGACAUGUGCGUGGGACCGACCCGAGCCGCGUCCGCGGGCGCCGGGCGGGGAAGCAGCGGCUCUCGCCGUAUUUUUAGCGCCGAGCGCAGAUUUUAGAACAUCAGCCGAACCUCCUCGUCCGUCCCGCUCCUCGGCGGAUGACUUGCCCGGAAAGUGGGCAUAGUGAGCCUCCUUUCACACGCAUGGUGCACAGGCUCUAAAAGGACAGUGUGUAAAUCAGCUUGUAUAAUAACGUGGCACCCACGCGCGUGAGCGGAGUUGCCAUGAGCUUACUUCCAAUGAUUAUUCCGGUUUCCAGGGAGACGAGGUUUGCAGCCACCUCCGUGGAGAAGGAGGGAGCAGCCUCUCCAUUCCCCUGCGGGCGCCAGCCAGAUUGAUUAGGCCUGGGGGCGGAAGUGAACUGACGACGGUGGCUCUUCCUCCGCCCGGAUCCCCGGAUCCCCGGAUCCUCGGAUCCUGGGGAGGAGGCCCGGGGGGCGGGUGCUGCGGUUUAGGUUUAGGUUUUUGGUUUGAGAUCUGGCCUCCGCUCUCCUUCGUGCCCCGCCCCCACCAACCUCUGGCCAGACACUUCCAUGCCCCUGAGCACCACCUUGUUCCUUAAACUGAUCGUACCUCUUCCUGCCACGGGGCCUUUGCACGUGCUGUUCCCUCUUCCUGCUGCAGGUGUCCCUUGCCGCAUCCUCACCUGGCUCCUGCCUUCUUGUUCCUCAGAUCUUAGCUUCACCUCACCAACUUUCGUUGGCUGCCUGCUGUCCUGCAGACACCGUGGAGUGCUUUGCAUGGGUUUUCUUUUGUAGUCCUUGCACCAGACCCUGAGUCGUGUGGCCCUGUAAUUCUCACACAGGCUUUCUAUGAAUUAGCCAGUGACUUGUGGAGUCAGGGUUCAAACCCAGGCUCCGUGCCCAACCUCCUUUCCCCUUGACCUCCCUCCCCUCACCAGACACCAGCCUCCCUCCCUGCUUCCCCUCCUCCCUGCCCCCAGCCCCUCGCAGAGGCCCCCCCUAACAGGUGGGAACUCCUGGUGGUCUAAAGGUCUGUCCUCCCCAUCAGAUUAGCUGCUCAGGGCAGGCAGGCUCCAGGUCCAACUGAUCCCUCGCUCCUCCCCAUCAGGAUUCAGUCCUGCCCUGGCUGCGUGGAAUGAGUGAGUGAAUGAAUGAAUAGGUGGCCAGCACUGACCCUGGGACACUCUGUCCUGUGAUCCUGCCCUGGCUGCGUGGAAUGAGUGAGUGAAUGAAUGAAUAGGUGGCCAGCACUGACCCUGGGACACUCUGUCCUGUGACAGAGUCUAAGUAUCUGGUUCUGCUCAUUGGAAGAAUGCACCAGGCCAGCAGGCAGAGGAGGCACCCACCUGGUGUUGAGACAGGUUGUUGGGGAAGGAGGAGUGACUUCGAACAUCACAGAGCCCGCCAUGUGCCACAUACUUUCUCAGGGACCAGUGUAGCACCUCCAUGCGGGACACAUCACUGCUAGGAUUCUGAAGACAGGGAACCAGAGCCCAGAGAUAAAGGCUCAAACCGAUUAUAACGUCCCCUUUUUCCAGGAACAAUCAAUGCUGAUCUUCACUUAUGGACGUAGUGUGUGCAUUUAUGUGCCAACAUUGCAUAGGCGGUGAUUAAUCCAAAAAACUCUCACAAAACCAGAGCCAGUGAGUUCUGCAAGACAUGAGAAUGUAUUAUUUUAAAUGCUUUUAUCUUGUGAAAUGUAAUAGAUCCACAGAAAAACUCUAUAAUGUAACAGCUUGAUGACUUAUAAAUGAGCAUCUAUAUACUUGCCACCCAGUCAAGGAACAACGUUGCAGGCACCUCCGCAAUCACUGCCCUCCCUCCCAGGAAGGUUCCACUGGCUUCAUUUGAAACCACUUUUCUUGUGUUUAUUUACACUUUUAUCACCUACACGUGUAUCUCUACACAUUUUAGUUUGGCUGUGUGUAUUAUUUGGACUUCGUAUAAGUGGAAUUAUAGAACAUGAUUGCUAUACGUCAGUUUUUUUUUUUCAUCCAAGGAGAUACCUCUAAAUUUUAGCCCUGUUGUUUUCUGUGUCUGUAGUUCACUCACUUUCGUGGCUGGAUCCUAAGCCAUCCUAAGAACAUGCCACAGUUUAUUUUUCCAUUUUACUGAUGAUUUGAUUUGACCGUUGA